rnacentral:rRNA from 1 species
AUUGAACGCUAACGGCAUGCUUAACACAUGCAAGUCGAACGGCAGCACAGCAGUAGCAAUACUGUGGGUGGCGAGUGGCGGACGGGUGAGUAAUGUAUAGGAAUCUGCCUUGUAGUGGGGGAUAACCUGGGGAAACUCGGGCUAAUACCGCAUAAUCUUUACGAAGCAAAGCGGGGGAUCGUAAGACCUUGCGCUAUAAGAUGAGCCUAUAUUGGAUUAGCUAGUUGGUGGGGUAAAGGCCUACCAAGGCGACGAUCCAUAGCUGGUCUGGGAGGAUGAUCAGCCACACUGGGACUGAGACACGGCCCAGACUCCUACGGGAGGCAGCAGUGGGGAAUAUUGGACAAUGGGGGAAACCCUGAUCCAGCAAUGCCGUGUGUGUGAAGAAGGCCUUCGGGUUGUAAGGCACUUUUAGUGGGAAAGAAAAGCUCAAAGCUAAUAACUUUGAGCCUUGACGUUACCCACAGAAAAAGCACUGGCUAACUCUGUGCCAGCCGCCGCAGUAA